UUCAAAACCCCCCAGGUCAACCUGUGUCCUGUGUCUCAGUAUAUAAAACCCUUCAGGACAGACCACACUUCAGUACUUUCAUCCUCUGUGGAGGAACUGUGUCAUCACUGCCACCUGAGACAGCGUUUGAAGCUUGCUUCAGAUUCAGAUUACAGAUUGACCCUGCCAGCUGGUGGUACAGUACUAUCACAAGGGAUCUUUCUUGUUAGAAAACUGUUGUCAUGGCGAAGUUAAUUCAUGUCCUGGUUCCUCUCCUUCUGCUAUUGGCUGUGGGUGUCCAGUCCGUGCCAACCAUACGAGUCAUCGAAAAUUUAAACGAUUUAUCGCAGCGAUUCAGAAGUCAACAACACCACGGAUAUUUGCUGCUCCAGUGGUAUGUGAAUGAAUGUUUAAACAAUGACAUGACCCUAAAAACUACAUGUACCCCUCAAAGCCAGAAUUUCGACCAUUACGGUUUUCAUGAAUUCUACAAUAACGGAAAUCCAGACCACCCCAGAAUUCUGCCUGUCCUGACUGGCCGAAGAUACUACACGGUUGGAAACCUACGUUUGGGUUCUCUACUGCCUCAUGCAGUGUCCAGGUACUGGGGAGAGCACCGUCAUAAUGAUAUCUUCAACAGGGACAGGCUGGUGAUGAGUCUUAACCCCAUAACCAACACCGUUGGUGAGAUAUACAUCUCAGAUCACUACAGCGCAGCCAGCACAUUCCAAGUCGGCCGCAACGUGAUCACCGCCCUCAGUGGGCUUGGACGUCCGAUGGGAUGAAGAUUGAAGACUUCAAGCCUGCCACUGUGCUAAGAAACAGACAGUUCACCACAGUGAUUGUAUGAAUCAUAUUUGUUCAUUAAACAUCUGAUGUGGAUCAGA